GAUGUUUCCGUUUUUUUCUGGUGUAGAGCUCAAUGUGUGCUGACUGAUUUCAGCUUGAAACCACGUCUGAAAAAGAAAUUUCCCCGGAAUUCACCUUCUUGCAACAUCGGGGAAAACCCUGCUCGCAGCGCCACCGUGCGGCGAGUGGAGUCCAGGAUGAGGAGUGAGCUCGAGUCACUGCUCGCUUCUGGAAAACUGCCACACAGCCGGCACCCAGCAGUAGCCGCCUGGGUGGAAGCUUGUUCCCUCCUGCGGUCCCAACGCGUUUAUAUUACCCGGGUGCUUGUGUUUCAAUGUUCCGGUUGCAUAAAGCCUGUUCUCUAGUGAGUCUCAGGUGCACCCCCAAUCUCCUCCAUGAGCCCCUGUCCCCUGGCCCUGGCCCAGCCUCCGCGUGUGCAGGAGGAACAGCGAACACCCACGGGCCCGGUCAGAGGCCCUCAGGGCUCAGCUCCCAGGACAAGCAGAGGGAGCAUAAAACUACUAGGUGAGUGCUCAGUGGCUGAAGAGAGCCUGGGAUGGUGGGCAGUGAGCAAGAGCUUCUGCAGAAUCUUCCAGAACGGCCGGUGAAAGAGAAGACGGCCCACAGAAGAGGAAGUAUGGCCCAUAAACAAAACUGCUCAACUGCCGUGGUCGGGAAACAAAGACAGAAACAGAAGUGAGGUUGUUUCCCACCGCCACUGGACAGGCCACACUGGACAGCAGAGGGAGGCCCAGCGCUGCGGGACGCGGAUCAGGGGCCACUUACACCUGGUUAUGUCAGUUGUGCACGGCACGUUUGGUUGAAGAUAGAUUUUACAGGAAAUCAUCCGGAAGGAAGGAUCCGCGCACUUACUGGAAUCUAAUCACAGCACCCCCCUGCUCCAGGCACCUCCCAGCUCCAUCUCCCCUGCUGGCCUCCCCUCCCCGGAUCCCGGCCUCAGUCAUCCCCACUCCUCUGGGCUUGGGGGGGUAACCAGAACUAGCACAAAUUAGUGUAAUUUUUCUAGAGAGAAAUUUGGCAAUAUGUGUCAAAAAUUUUAAAAUUGCAUACCUUUUGGCCUAGAGUAAUUCCACUGUAAGACUCUGUGGGGAGGGAUGGGGGGCAACUACUGGAAAUCAUCAAAAUGCACCAUUGCCUGUCUGCAUGUGGGCCAGAGCUAAGAGGGGCCUUCACACUGUACAAUCGGAAAAACAAACCAACAAAUAAAGAAGGUGUAUGAGCUGUCUCUCCCGGGAAUUCAAGGUCCAGACAUCAAGAUCCAGCCUCGCAAGGCCAAAUGCAGGCUGCAGAUGAAAACGAACCAGAAAAGUCCAGACAGUCAAGGGAAAGAAAUUCAGUCUUCAAGACCAAAUGCAGGCUGGUGGGAAGGUGCCAACCAGCAUGGCCACAUGCUCCCCCUCCCCUCCCUAAA